GGAUGUAAUCGCUUUGCUCCUUUGUCUAAAAUUUCAGUUUAUAGUAGAAAGAAAAAAAUAUCUAUCACUUGUUGCUGGUAGAUAUUUUUUUCUUUCUACUAUAAACUGAAAUUUUAGACAAAGGAGCAAAGCGAUUACAUCCG
rnacentral:pre_miRNA from 15 species